rnacentral:sRNA from 1 species
AUGGAAGAUGCUGGAA